GUGCCACAUGACCACUCUUUGCCGAGGGCCUUUCUGUAGCCCUCGGCAAACAAUUUAAUAUUUAAAUUUCUAAAUUCUUUGCCGAGGGCUACGCUAUGGCCCUCGGCAAAGAAUUUUUUUUUGUUUUUUUUAUCUAGUUUUUUUUCUGUGGCACACCUACACAUGUGAGAUGUUUGAGUUUUGUGCACCAGACGUUACCACAGACUCAGAAUUUUUUGAAAUUUUUAUCAUAGCAUCCACAUGUGAUAACAUGUUAUGUCGCCAAGUUUCGAGAUUUUCUGAGUUUGUUUUCAUUUUAUAUAUUCAAAAAAACGAUUUCACGCAACUUGGUCCACAUGUUUCGGGGGGUAAACGUUCGAUAUUUCAUGUGGCUUUCUGCAUACGGCCUGGAAAUGCACUAACAAUCAUGAAUGUUAUGAUUGAAAUAAUUAAAUACUAUUAUUUAAUGCACCUGUAGUUUGAAUUUGAAAUUUAUCGAAAAAUUCAACAAAUUCAAAAAAUCCAAAAAAUAUACCAAAGUUAUUUCAAAAUGAACCAAACUUUAGCAUGUACCUAGCCACAGAAAGAAAAAAAAACAUGGAUCCAAAAAACAAAAAAAAAUUUGCCGAGGGCCCACUCCAGACCCUCGGCAAAGAUGGGAGUUGCCGAUGGCAGGCUGGCGGGCCUUCGGCAAAGCCUGACCUCCGCCAGAGCUUUGCCGAGGGCUUAACUACGGGCACUCGACAAAGCCUAACGCCCAUAGCGCCGUUACUCUGGGCCCACACCGCC
rnacentral:lncRNA from 1 species